rnacentral:rRNA from 1 species
CCACGGGUGGCAGCAGUGGGGAAUAUUGCACAAUGGGCGCAAGCCUGAUGCAGCCAUGCCGCGUGUAUGAAGAAGGCCUUCGGGUUGUAAAGUACUUUCAGCGGGGAGGAAGGGAGUAAAGUUAAUACCUUUGCUCAUUGACGUUACCCGCAGAAGAAGCACCGGCUAACUCCGUGCCAGCAGCCGCGGUGAAUACGGAGGGUGCAAGCGUUAAUCGGAAUUACUGGGCGUAAAGCGCACGCAGGCGGUUUGUUAAGUCAGAUGUGACAUCCCCGGGCUCAACCUGGGAACUGCAUCUGAUACUGGCAAGCUUGAGUCUCGUAGAGGGGGGUAGAAUUCCAGGUGUAGCGGUGAACUGCGUAGAGAUCUGGAGGAAUACCGGUGGCGAAGGCGGCCCCCUGGACGAAGACUGACGCUCAGGUGCGAAAGCGUGGGGAGCAAACAGGAUUAGAUACCCCCGUAGUC